rnacentral:lncRNA from 1 species
AUGGAGAUGAACCAACUGUCAUUCAGGAGGCAGCAACUGAUCGACCGCAGGAAAAUGCUGACCAUCCUGCAGGAGUUCAGGAACCGCUCCAACAACAAUAGCACAGCAGAGGGAUCCAAGCAGCAGAGUGAGAUUCAAUGCAUUGAUCAGGAACUGCAGGAGCUGUCUGAGAAGAAGAGAGCGCUGCAGGAAAGCCAAGAUAACAUUCUCCAUUCCAAGGACCAAAGAAAAGAGUGCAUCAUCAGUCAGGGGGGCGUGUCUGUUCUCCCUGACCCCUCUGUUGUCUUUGUUGAAGCUCCACCCUCUAUACCAGGUGAGUCACUUGGACUGAGAGUCAAAUGA